rnacentral:rRNA from 1 species
GACGAACGCUGGCGGCGUGCUUAACACAUGCAAGUCGUACGGUAAGGCCCUUUCGGGGGUCCACGAGUGGCGAACGGGUGCGUAACACGUGAGUAACCUGCCCACAACUUUGGGAUAACGCUAGGAAACUGGUGCUAAUACUGGAUAUGUGCUCCUGCUGCAUGGUGGGGGUUGGAAAGCUCCGGCGGUUGUGGAUGGACUCGCGGCCUAUCAGCUUGUUGGUGGGGUAGUGGCCUACCAAGGCGGCGACGGGUAGCCGGCCUGAGAGGGUGACCGGCCACAUUGGGACUGAGAUACGGCCCAGACUCCUACGGGAGGCAGCAGUGGGGAAUAUUGCACAAUGGGCGCAAGCCUGAUGCAGCAACGCCGCGUGCGGGAUGACGGCCUUCGGGUUGGAAACCGCUUUCAGCAGGGACGAAGCUUUUUGUGACGGUACCUGCAGAAGAAGCACCGGCUAACUACGUG